UACGGGGGGGGCAAGCGUUGUUCGGAAUUACUGGGCGUAAAGGGCUCGUAGGCGGCCAACUAAGUCGGAUGUGAAAUCCCCAGGCUUAACCUGGGAACUGCAUCCGAUACUGGAUGGCUUGAAUCCGGGAGAGGGAUGCAGAAUUCCAGGUGUAGCGGUGAAAUGCGUAGAUAUCGGGAGGAACACCAGUGGCGAAGGCGGCUUCCUGGACCGGUUCUGACACUGAGGAGCGAAAGCGUGGGGAGCGAUCCGG
rnacentral:rRNA from 1 species